CCGCGGUGCCUCUCCUGGCCGACCGGAGCGCGCGGGGCGCCGGUGCUGCCGGUUAAAGUGUAGCGGGGCUGGGCCGGGCCGCUGGCUCCUCCGACUCCGCCGCCGACUGUCCCGGCACUCCGACCGACCUGCCCACGGGCAAGUGAAUCAUCACAUUUCCCUCGGUGGAAGUAAGAGAACUUGGGCUGGAAGCAUGUGGUGCGUCCUGCGAGGCUGGCGGGGAGGAUGCCUGGGCCCAUGGGGAGCCCUGGGGACGCAGGGCCCCCAGGGCCUCUGCGCUCUGGCCAGCAAGCGCCCGCGGAGCCGGGGCGAAUACAGCCACGUGGUGGUGGGUGCGGGCUCCGCUGGCUGCGUGCUGGCCGGCCGGCUCACGGAGGACCCUGACCAGUGCGUGCUGCUGCUGGAGGCCGGGCCCAAGGACGUGUACGCGGGGAGCAAGCGGCUCCGGUGGAAGAUCCACAUGCCUGCGGCCCUCGUGGCCAACCUGUGCGAUGACAGGUACAACUGGUGCUACCACACCGAGCCGCAGGCGGGCCUGGACGGCCGCGUGCUGUACUGGCCGCGGGGCCGCGUCUGGGGCGGCUCGUCGUCGCUCAACGCCAUGGUCUACGUGCGCGGGCACGCCGAGGACUACGAGCGCUGGCAGCGCCAGGGCGCCGCGGGCUGGGGCUACGGGCACUGCCUGCCCUACUUCCGCAGGGCGCAGGCGCACGAGCUGGGCGCCGGCAGGUACCGCGGCGGCGACGGGCCCCUGCGCGUGUCCCGGGGCAAGAGCGGCCAUCCGCUGCACCGCGCGUUCCUGGAGGCGGCACAGCAGGCCGGCUACCCCCUCACCGAGGACAUGAACGGCUUCCAACAAGAGGGCUUCGGCUGGAUGGACAUGACCAUCCACGAAGGCAAGCGAUGGAGCACGGCCUGCGCGUACCUGCACCCAGCACUGAGCCGCCCCAACCUCACAGCCGAGACCCAGACGUUUGUGAGCAGGGUUCUAUUUGAAGGCACCCGUGCAGUGGGUGUGGAGUACAUCAAGAACGGCCAGAGCCACAGGGCUUAUGCCAGCAAGGAGGUGAUUCUAAGUGGAGGUGCCAUCAACUCUCCGCAGCUGCUCAUGCUGUCGGGCGUGGGCAAUGCCGACGACCUCAGGAAACUGGGCAUCCCGGUGGUGUGCCACCUUCCUGGAGUUGGCCAGAACCUCCAAGACCACCUGGAGAUAUAUAUCCAGCAGGCAUGCACCCGCCCUAUCACCCUCCACUCUGCACAGAAGCCCCUGAGGAAGGCCUGGAUCGGCCUGGAGUGGCUCUGGAAGUUCACAGGGUAUGGAGCCACGGCCCAUCUGGAAACGGGGGGGUUCAUCCGGAGCCAGCCUGGGGUCCCCCAUCCGGACAUCCAGUUCCACUUCCUGCCGUCCCAGGUGAUCGACCAUGGGCGGGUCCCCCCACAGCAGGAGGCUUACCAGGUGCAUGUGGGGACCAUGCGGGGCACGAGCGUGGGCUGGCUCAAACUGAGAAGUGCCAACCCCCACGACCACCCUGUGAUCCAGCCCAACUACCUGUCAACAGAAACUGACAUUAAAGACUUCCGUCUCUGUGUGAGGCUGACCCGAGAGAUUUUUGCACAGAAAGCCCUGGCACCAUUCCGGGGAAAGGAGCUCCAGCCGGGAAGCCAUGUCCAGUCGGAUGCAGAAAUAGACGCCUUCGUCCGGGCGAAGGCAGACAGUGCCUACCACCCCUCGUGCACCUGCAAGAUGGGCCAGCCCUCCGACCCCACGGCAGUGGUGGACCCCCAGACCAGGGUGCUCGGGGUGGAAAACCUCAGGGUGGUCGACGCCUCCAUCAUGCCCAGCGUGGUCAGUGGUAACCUGAAUGCCCCCACUAUCAUGAUCGCAGAGAAGGCAGCCGACAUCAUCCAGGGGCGGCCGGCGCUCUGGGACGAGGAUGUUCCAGUCUAUAAGCCCAGGACCCUGGCCACCCAGCGCUGAGGUCGGCCCUGCCUGCAAAGGCUCAGCAUAGCCCUUGCUCCACAUGGACUUCCCUGAACCUGUCUAGAAUGUGACAGUCCAGUGGCCGAGACUUGGAUAAUCUCCUAAGAAAUGAGACCAGUACUGAGGGUCAAGAGAAAAAAUUCUGUCAAGAGACGUCUGUGUCCUAGAGAGGCCCCGCCUGCCCACAGGCCUCCUCUGGGUCUGGGAGCCGCCGGCAGGGGUGAAGGACAGCAGGACGGCGGGUGCCGAUCCCCCACUCUGAGGGCCACGAAGUGACACCUCCUGGCCUGUGACUGAACUGACCUCCUCUGGGGUGGGCAUGGCAGGUGACGUGGCCAUUCAGACCUGCAUUCUCUGGUGCCUUCGGCCUCUGAGACAGCAGCUGAUAGGCUAGUGUGCGUGUGUAGGUGAGCAAAACCGCGUGUGUCAGUGGGGCCCGUACUGUGGGGCACCAAGGCCCCUCUCCCGCUCACGGCAUACAAUCACACAAUACCGCCGCACACAGAUACGUUUCAAAGGAGAAAAGUGUGAGUAUCAUUUACCCAACAGGAAACUGCGUUGGGGUCCAGACCUCAGAAUAUUCUAUCUGAGGCAGUUCCCCACCUCGAGCCCUAAGUGCUGGCUGGCCGGGCAGAGUGGAGCAGUGGCCCGUGUCCUAACCACCACCUGUCUGAAGGGUCCAGUGCCACGAAGGAACCAUCGCCUGCAGAAGGAAAGGGGGCUAUUGUCUAAGGAGGCCAGAGAGGGGAGGGAAGUGCUGACCGCAAUCGGGGAGGGUGAGCCAGUCAGGCAGGCCCAAAGGGCAUGCAGACCGGCCAGCACUCGGCCUCUAGAGGAACUGCGAAGACACCUGUUAAGCUCCUUAAGCAGAAAGCCUGCAGUGCCCCCCCGAACAGGAGAACGUACAUUUCCCAGAACGGUUGACAAAGCCUAACGGAAGUGGUGUAUGUGCCGAUGGGCAGGUCGCGGAACACAGACCCCACUGAAGAAGCCAAGGAUUCCUCCUGGUGGAGUCAGAGCCAGACACGCAGCUAGAGCAGCGGCCUGCAGGUGACCAGGAAAGGGCGGGUCGCAGAAGUGGGACUCUGGCGCCUAGAAACACAGCCCCUGUGCAGGCUGCAGGAGUCUUCUCCAUAAAUUCAAAUAGUCUCCUUAGUCAAACCAUGUUCCUCCACCCAAAGGGCAUGUCAUAUUUUCGCUGAACAACUUAUCAUCAGGUCAAAUACCUAGGCACCUUUCUCUUAGAAACUAGAAAAAAACACACACACCUUUCUCUGCUGGCCCUGUCUUGAGACGCAGGCAGCCUCCCAUGGCCUCUCCUGCCUCCAUCCCCACAGGGCACCCUCACGGCCACGCUCACUCCUGUUCUCUGCUCGGAAGAAAGGGCCUCGGGCCCACCUCUCUCUCUUGCCUGCUCUCUUGGAUCCCCAGUAAAGAAGGAAUAUCAUUUUAGAGAAAUAAAAGCUUUUUCCACAAAUGAAGGCGUAGCUGUGGAGUCUUGUUUCUGAGUCAGGAGAGGCUAAUAAAGGAGCUUGGAACUCUGUAUGAAGCUAACAGCUUUCAGAACAAACUGACCACCAUCCUAACAAUAAAAACCUUUGCAGGAAAACAGGCAAUGGGCAAAGACACUUAGGACUGUGACACACAAAUAGCACAAAAUAAACUGCUCUGGUUCCUCUCACAAGCGUGGCAUCAGACAUAAAGCGGUCCAUCAGACACGUUAAACGCAUUCUGCGCACCAAGAAGCUUCUAGGGCCUUCACAAGCUGCCCGUCCCAGCCACCAGUUGAUUCUGAAAUAUUUCAGAGUCAGGCUGGGAGGUGCUAUGUGGCCCAGCUGUCUGGAUGGAAAUUACAGAGACCACAGUUAACGAGGUUCCUGCUUGCCGUUUCCGUUUUGUGACAUUAUGGAAAACACAUGAUGAAAGAGACUAUGUACUAUUCCUGGGGUCAACUCCAAGAUGACUACUUUUUUAGGGGAUAGGAGGGGAACUAAAAAGGAGAGACAUUUAAAGUUUCCUGAAAGAAACUUGAAGUUUUUCUUAACAAAGACAAAUUUAAUGUCAGAUGAGCAGUUGAACCAGGUGUA